GGAUGUGGCUCAAUGGCAGAGCACUUGACCAGCAUUCAGGAGGCCCUGGGUUCAAUCCCCAGUAUCACUCA